ACCAGAGCCAUAUCUCCCUGCAGUUUUCGCCUAGUUUCCCACUGAAGCUAAGCAGGGUUGAGCCUGGCUAGUACCUGGAUGGGAGACCUCCGGCGGAAAACUAAGGUUGCUGCUGGAA
rnacentral:rRNA from 1 species